rnacentral:rRNA from 1 species
CGGCCGCGGUAUCCUGACCGUGCAAAGGUAGCAUAAUCACUUGUUCCCUAAUUAGGGACUAGAAUGAAUGGCCAAACGAGGAUUCAACUGUCUCUUAUUUUUUANUCAGUGAAAUUGACCUUUCAGUGAAGAGGCUGAAAUACUAAAAUAAGACGAGAAGACCCUAUGGAGCUUAAAUUAAAAGUUUAAUUUUACUCUUAUUAACCUAAUGGUUUAACACAAAAAUUUUAAACUCUAAAUUUCGGUUGGGGUGACCUCGGAGAACAAAAAAUCCUCCGAAUGAUUUUAACAUAGACCAACAAGUCAAAGUAACUCAAAGAUCUUAUUGACCCAAAAAUUUUUUGAUCAACGGACCAAGUUACCCUAGGGAUAACAGCGCAAUCCUAUUUUAGAGUCCAUAUCGACAAUAGGGUUUACGACCUCGAUGUUGGAUCANGACAUCCCAAUGGCGCA